rnacentral:rRNA from 1 species
GGCGGACGGGUGAGUAACGCGUAAAGAACUUGCCCUUUAGACUGGGAUAACAGAGGGAAACUUCUGAUAAUACUGGAUAAGUUAGUAUAUCGCAUGAUAUGCAAAUGAAAGCUACGGCACUAAAGGAGAGCUUUGCGUCCUAUUAGCUAGUUGGUAAGGUAAGAGCUUACCAAGGCGAUGAUAGGUAGCCGGCCUGAGAGGGUGGACGGCCACAAGGGGACUGAGAUACGGCCCUUACUCCUACGGGAGGCAACAGUA